GCCGGAGUGGUGAAACUGGUAGACGCGCUGGACUCAAAAUCCAGUGGGCUUUGUGCCCGUGAGUGUUCUAAUCUCUCCUCCGGCAUCA
rnacentral:tRNA from 1 species